AUGAAAAAAAGAAAUUGGUCUGGAAAUCCUAGAUGCUCCUUUUGCAGAGACAUUGAAUCAUCUCAACAUUUGUUCUUUACUUGUCCCGUGGCUCGGGUAAUCUGGAGGACGGUAGGCUGUGUGCUGGGCACAGACUUAUGUCCUAAUAACAUCUGGCAAUAUUUCUCCUGGUGUUAUGUGUUCCUACCUGAUGGAGCCAGGUUCUAUACCUUUGGCCUGGCGGCCAUAUGUUGGGCUAUUUGGAAUAGCCGCAACCAGGCUACGUUUGAACAUAAGCAACUCAAAACUCCGUUUAAUGUGGUAUACUCUGCUUGUGGCUUUUUGACGUAUUGGGCAGGCUUGAUGACAGGUGCUGAUCGGGAGGCAAUGGAGCGUGGUGCCAAGAUGCUCAAGGUGAAUGCCUCUACGAUGAUGAGGAUUUGUGCAGCUCCAGUCAAGGCGACGAUGGACUGA
rnacentral:rRNA from 1 species